rnacentral:rRNA from 1 species
UACGUAGGGGGCAAGCGUUGUCCGGAUUUAUUGGGCGUAAAGAGCGUGUAGGCGGCCUGGAAGGUCAGCUGUGAAAACUCGAGGCUCAACCUCGAGACGUCGGUUGAAACCACCUGGCUAGAGUCCGGAAGAGGAGAGUGGAAUUCCCGGUUUAGCGGUGAAAUGCGCAGAUAUCGGGAAGAACACCCGUGGCGAAGGCGGCUCUCUGGGACGGUACUGACGCUGAGACGCGAAAGCGUGGGGAGCGAACAGG